rnacentral:rRNA from 1 species
GUGGGGAAUCUUGCGCAAUGGGCGAAAGCCUGACGCAGCCAUGUCGCGUGAAUGAUGAAGGUCUUAGGAUUGUAAAAUUCUUUCACCGGGGACGAUAAUGACGGUACCCGGAGAAGAAGCCCCGGCUAACUUCGUGCCAGCAGCCGCGGUAAUACGAAGGGGGCUAGCGUUGCUCGGAAUUACUGGGCGUAAAGGGAGCGUAGGCGGACAUUUAAGUCAGGGGUGAAAUCCCGGGGCUCAACCUCGGAAUUGCCUUUGAUACUGGGUGUCUUGAGUGUGAGAGAGGUAUGUGGAACUCCGAGUGUAGAGGUGAAAUUCGUAGAUAUUCGGAAGAACACCAGUGGCGAAGGCGACAUACUGGCUCAUUACUGACGCUGAGGCUCGAAAGCGUGGGGAGCAAACAGGAUUAGAAACCCUGGUAGUCC